rnacentral:lncRNA from 1 species
AGUCUUCGGACGGCGGCCUGCGGAGGUCGGGUGAGAGGGUGAUCGCGCUGCUGAAAGCCGACUGCGCCUACGUGGACUGCGGGUUCGCUCCGGGCCGCUCCUCCCUGCUGUUCACGAGGAAACCUAAAGAGGCUUGACUCAACCUGCCGGACACUAAAGGACAUCACUCUGAGCCUGAGGGAGGGGCUCUCCUUUGGUCUCCCUCUUUUGUCCAGCCUUGCCCCAGGAUAUUUUUCUAAGCUGAGUUAGCCACUAGGCACUCCACAUCGCUGCCCGCAUCACCACGCUGCGGCAUCUGCUGUUGCAUCUGCGAUCCACAAGGCCUACACCAUUCGCCAUCGCACCUGGCUGUUUGUUGCAGAUAUUUCUCAGACCUCCUGCUUGAAGCCUGAAGUGUUCCAAGCAUAGAGAUGAUGGACGUGGUAUGGGACAAUCAGUGCACCCGCAGGAGGGGACGGCGGGAACCAAGAUUGGAAGGAACAUUGCUCUCUGUGACUGAGUCUCCGUGUGGGCUGCUGGGACAAGUCUAUUGAUUGGUGU